AUGAAAACACUUUGUUGGAACUGUUGCGGGAUUGGUGAUCCCGCGACAGUCAGAGAACUCCGUGAACUUGUGCGGAUUUGUGCGCCCUCGAUUUGCAUAGUUGAGACUCAAUUAUCAAAGAGCCGAGUGAAAGGUCUGGCGGUUUCUUUAGGUUUUGAUUCUAGUUUUGGUGUAGCCAGUAGUGGCCGUAGUGGUGGUCUUUGCCUGUACUGGAACAAGAGUUUGAAUCUCGAAAUAAAAAGUUUUUCCAAGUAUCAUGUGGAUGCAUGGAUCUCCGAGCUGGAUAAGGAGCAAUGGAGGCUCUCCUGCUUCUAUGGAGAAGCUAACAGAAGUCUUCGUUAUAAGACCUGGGAAACGGUGAGAUUCCUACGAGGCUAG
rnacentral:rRNA from 1 species